rnacentral:lncRNA from 1 species
CGUCACCGUAGUGGAGUAGUCCGACAUGUUGAUGGCUGCCGGUACGACAAUGGGUUGGGAGCUGCGAGUUGACGAGUAGAUGAAGUUGGUCACGAUAAGGCAUACCUGCAAGGAGUGCAUCAUGCCUGUCUGUCUGUAUGUGUAUAUGUAUAUAUGUAUGUAUGUAUGUAUGUAUGUAUGUAUGUAUGUAUGUAUGUAUGUAUGUAUG